GGUUGGAUGUUUUAAACAUAGCUGGCCUGCCAUUGUGGAUCACUGAACUAGAUUUGUCUUCACACGACGAGAACGCAAAGGCAGAGUGGUAUGAGAAUGUGAUCAGGCUUUACUUCAGUCACCCAGGAGU
rnacentral:sRNA from 1 species